rnacentral:rRNA from 1 species
AAGCAGGGGAUCGUAAGACCUUGCGCUUUUGGAGCGGCCGAUGUCUGAUUAGCUAGUUGGUGGGGUAAUGGCCUACCAAGGCUACGAUCAGUAGCUGGUCUGAGAGGACGGCCAGCCACACUGGGACUGAGACACGGCCCAGACUCCUACGGGAGGCAGCAGUGGGGAAUUUUGGACAAUGGGCGCAAGCCUGAUCCAGCCAUGCCGCGUGAGUGAAGAAGGCCUUCGGGUUGUAAAGCUCUUUCAGCCGGGAAGAAAAGGUUGCGACUAAUAAUCGCAAUUCAUGACGGUACCGAAAGAAGAAGCACCGGCUAACUACGUGCCAGCAGCCGCGGUAAUACGUAGGGUGCGAGCGUUAAUCGGAAUUACUGGGCGUAAAGGGUGCGCAGGCGGUUUUGUAAGUCAGAUGUGAAAUCCCCGGGCUUAACCUGGGAACUGCGUUUGAAACUACAAAGCUAGAGU